UAGGUUUGUCCCUAAGUCAAAUUUGUUUUAAGUUUGACCAACUCUACAGAAAAAGUGGCAAGAUCUACAACACCUAAUACACAUAGUACAAAAAAUAUUUCAUAAAGAAUCUCAUGACGCUAAUUUGGUGUUCUAGAUGUUAAUAUACUUUUCUAUAGAUUUGGUCAAACUUAAACAAGUUUGACUUAGGACAAACCCAG
rnacentral:pre_miRNA from 1 species